rnacentral:misc_RNA from 1 species
UGGUCGUCUUCUUCGGCGCCUCCCCGCACCAACUCGCCUCAACACAAACAUACCCUUCGCUCACUCUCUCUUUCUCGCACCCACUCUCUCGUUGGCUCCUCACCCACACAUAAACACAAACUCACGCCCGCCACGCUUAUCUGCUGUGUUGCACUCCCCACUUUUUUCCUUCCUUUUUUCUUUCUCCUGUCUACUCGCCCCCUCUAUCUCUGCCCCUCACAGAAAAGCUUCACCAGCCAUAGAGAUAGACAACUCCACCAUCCUCGCCACACACUAGCAAGCCAUAUUCGUGCCUCUGCCACGCAACAAGCGAACGCGCGCACGCAUACACAGCAGAGCAGGUGUGAGAGAGAGACACAAAAAGAAAAACGAAAAUAGAAACGCUGUCGCCACGCGGCGCACGAGCCGAAAGGCGCGCACACACACACACACACACACACUCACACGACUGCACAUGCUUUGCUUACAUACAUAAGAAAGCAAGGCACAAUUCGAGAAGAGGCACACUCACACGUGUAACAGUCACUUGCGAGGUAAGCUUUCUGCUCAUACAGCCCAUAAACUCACACAUCAACGUACAUCGUACACACAACUCGCACACACGCACACACCUGUGCAUCGAAGAAAUCUUGACCGCUUCUUUUGUUUGUCUGUUUGUUGUUGGUGUGUGUGUGUGUGCGUCUUGCGUUGUUUUGUGUGCAGCGAAAGCAGGAUACAUUGCCGGAGCCGUCGAAUACAGACGUCUAUAUACAUACACACAUAUAUAUAUCCCACUACCACUGCACCCACACAGGCACACAGACACACCCACCCACACAAAGAACGGCAUCCAACCUGAAGCGAAGAGAAACAUGGCAUACACGGAGAGCCACGUCAACAAGGCCAUCGACGUGUUCCUCGACACCCGGAGCGGCUCGCCGCCUGCGGUGACCGGCGCCAAUGCCACCGUCUCGAACAACACUGUGGACCACAACCGAUUUGCCACGAUGAUUGCCCUGCAGAACCGCCUCCUGAGCAUCAUGGCGGAGGCACAGACGAUUGUGCAGCACCUUCAGCAGAACGGCUUCUUUCCCCGCGGCUCUGGCGCCAACCCGGAGGAGGAUGCGGCCAACAUAAUCAUGCAGAUGCUGCGCGCCAGCCUCGAGGCAUCCAACUCGUCGGUCACGUCACCGAGCGGGAUGGGGAGCGGCUCGCCAUCGGCCAUGGACACCGGAAGCGCUCAGCGUGUGCCCAGUCCCAACUCCACGAACAUGCCCGCUGGCUUGGACGACGUGUCGUCGUGGGCUCCGACCAAGUCGUCCCCCGACAACAACAGCCAUAGCCGUAGCGACACGGACAACGCAAUCCACAGCGCGGUGUCGCACAACGCCGUCGAGGAGUUUCUUCUCUCCGGCCAAGACGGUCAGCAGCAGAAACAGCAGCAGCAAAACUACUCGAGCGCUGCGGGUGCAGAUCACAACGAAGAAGGCGACGAGCUACCGGAAGGCUCGGAGAUGCUGGCGUUUGUGGAGUUCAAGCGCGGCCGCGUCCGCAAGUACGUGUGCGGCCACCGCAUCGAGCCUGGCAACUACGUCCUCGUCGACGGCGAUCGUGGUACAGACUGCGGCCUAUUGGUGCAGACGAUCGAGCGCAAGCCGAACAACGAGACGGCCGUUGUGUCGAUGGAGGGCUGCGACAUCCGCGACGACAAAAUCAAGCUGGAGAACGGUCGCGUUCUGCGCCAGGCCUCAGAGGAAGACAUCGACCGCCUUCACAAUAUCAUCGCGAACGCCGAGAGCGUUGCGCUCAAGACGUGCCGUCAGCGGUGCUUGGAGCUCGGCAUCGACAUUGACCUACAGGAUGUGGAGUACCAGUUCGACAUGAAGAAGAUCAGCUUCUUCUUCGACUGUGACCACAGCGUCGACUUCCGCUCCCUCGUGCGGGAGCUCUACCGCACCUUUGGGGCGCGAAUUUGGAUGGAGAACAUCAAUCCCAAGGUCAAGAACUCUAUGCCGGACGCUAGUGGCCACGAGCGCGGUCACGGUGGUGGUCACCACGGUAAUGGCGGCGGCUGGCGCAAUAACCACCGCGGCGGGCGCGGGCGUGACUACUGAGAUGGCCACGCUAGAGAUGCACGUGAUAGCCGAGCGAGUUUCCGUUGGCAAGCCACGUCGCAUCUAUUUGUUUGCUGGUGUUUUUCUUCCUUUGCCAGACUCUCGUAGAAUGGCGGCCCGCGACGACAUGCGCACACGCACCCUCGUCAACGUGUGUCAGAGCCUCACUGGAAGUGGUGGCACGAAUAGAAAUAGGCAGUGAUACGGGAGGGAGCGCAUGCAGGACAGGGAAGCAUACGUGAAUCCGUUCUUUCAUGUUUCUUAUACUGCAGAAGUGGAGCUCUCAACUCCCACGCGCGCACGCAGCGCGUAACGCGACCAGGACCUGAGUUGCCAAACCUCGAGCGCGAUUUGCCCUCUUUCUCUUCGUCUUUCUUCCUGACUUUGUCUCUCUCUAGCCAUAGCUUCCCCAAACACCAUCACCACCACCCUUCUCAGCUUCGAAAACGCACGCGUUGUUUGGUAUUCAAGGGUGGAGAAACGCGGAAAGAAGUGCUCGACAUUGUUUAUUAGUUUUUUUUUCUUGUGCUCAGUCUCUAGUAAUUUCAUGCCCACCCUGCGCUCCUGUCCUGCAUGUACAUAUCUGUAUGCCCCUCCCCCUUCUCUCUCCGCUGCUGUUCAUGUAUUGUGUCGGGGCUGCCACGAUCGCAGUGAAGCGCAUGCGGAAGGCAAUAAAAGGAAGCGAAAAUAAAAACGACAGAGGAAAGGGAAAAGGACAAAUUUAAACGAAAAAGGAAACAGAUGUGUGGAAGAAACGAUAGCACGCUUGCGUGGGGCGUGUUGCUUACCAACACCCCAUGCGCUAUGACGGGAGCGGAGUGUGGAGAAUGGGAAGGAAAAGGGGAGCAUGGCACGGCACACAUACGCACACAAAAAGGGAACAACCCCCUUCCGCCUCUCAGCAAAAAAAAAAGAUGUGUAUGUGCGUGUGUGUGUAUAUAUAUAUAUAUGGUGGUGGUGUCGGUUGGUCUUGUUUAUGUUUCUCCUACGUUUGCCUGACUUUUAGGCCUUUAAGUGUUUCUGUUUUUUUUUGUUGUUGUCGUUUUUCCCUUUGUUAUUUCUCCUGUGUGUUUCAUUUUUCUGAAGCGUUUUACUGUUCAACGUGGUUGAUGCCAUCCUCACCUUCUCUGCAUACCAGCGUGUCUGCCUCCCUCCUCCCUCUCUCCUUCCUGAGUGUGUGCAUAGGUAAGAUGUCUUUCACUUUUUUGUUGUUCUCUGUGCGUGUCUCUCGUAUAUGACUUCACUUUUUUAUUAUCACUUUUCGAUGUUCUCGUUUUGUUUUUCUUUUCGCCCUUUCUUUUUGGUAUUGUGUGUGUCUGUGUGUGUGAUGGUGAUGGCGGUGGCACUCACUCGCCCACUGCUUUUCGAUUUUGUGUGUGUGUGUGUGUGUGUGUGGCAACGAGAGUUAAAAAUCUGCCUUUCGAUGGACAUGAGAGAGCGAGAGAGAGCUUGUUGUUGCUCUCACCGUCGCAUGCCGCUAGCUGUCAUGAGACUUUAUUCCUCUCUAACAGCUAGGCGUCUUUCAUUUUUUUAUGCUUUUAAGUAAAGGCGAAAGUCGCAUAGCAGUGCCCGGCACAAUCGCGUAAGGUAGUUUGGGGGAUGAUAAUGAGGGUAGCGGGGCUAUGGUGAAGCCUCGAAGAUGUUUCGUGACGCACUCAUACACAGUGCAGAUGCGAACGUCACAGAUCACUCUCACGAGGUGUGUGUGUGUACUUCUGCGCACAUGCGCCUCUUUUUGUUGUCGUGUUGUGCGCACGGUCCAUUCUAUUGUUUAUUUAUUUUCACCUGUCUCCACCAUAGAGAAAAAAGGCGAGGAAAGGGGGUUACAAGAAAGAGGGCUGCCCGCUCGCGUUUCUGUGUGUGUGUGUGUGUUUCUGGAAAAGUGCACUGAGGUGGUGGCAGCGUGCCUCAAGGAGGAAGAGAGAGGUACAGUCGCGCGCACGCACAUAUACAGACACGAACUACGGCGAGAAAGGAGGAGCAAGGUAAAAUCACAGGCGAGUUUUUUUUUUCGCUCGGGGAAUACAAGUGGCGCACAUGAGCAAGAGGGCGGCGGUGGUAGUUGGGUGUGGUGGCGGGAAGGAUGGAGGUAAAGUGGAGGCAGUGGCGGGCCAGUUAGAAGAAGAAGCGAAGGACUUUUCCUCUCGUUUUGUCUGUAGUGCCUGCACGGUUCCCGUUCUCGUUCAUUGUUGCUGUUUUCCCCAUUUGCCUUAUCCUUUGCGCCCUCCAUCUCUCUUCUCCCUCCCCCUUCUCUCCCUCCCUUGUAUGAUCUUCGUCUCGGCACCGUUUCGUUGUCGUUUUCUUUCUCUGUGAGGGCAGCAUGCGUAUGUCUGCGUGUUCGUGUACACCUGGCUCGUGCACCUCGCUCUUUUCUUGUCGUUUUGUUUCUUGACACCUUCUGCAUCUCUACUCUCCUUUAUUUCUCUUUCACCUGCCCCUUCUCUUCCUUCUCGGCCACUUUCUCCCUCUCCCUCUCAUUACGAGUCAAAUACAGAAGGAACCCACACCCCCGCUCGGGCAAGCGCCCCGGCCACACUAUAGACAGAGACGGCUUCUUGGGUCGAGAAAACAUGAAGAGUGGCAGUCCCGGCGAUCAUGCGAACUCUGCCUUUCCUCGUGCUCUCAGCUUCCACGUUUUUUUUCGUUGCAAGUAGUCUGCACCUUUUUUGUUUGGCUUCUUGUUUUUUGUUCUCUGCCGGCGUCAGCGUGUUGAUGUCGCUGUGUGUUUACGUGAAGUGGUGCUCACCUCCUCCCCCCCCCUCGACUCUUCUUGUGCGCGUUCUUCCGAUUUCCUCUGUUUUUGCUACGUUUUUUUUUUAACUGUGCGGUGAUUUUUUUUGGUCUCUGUUGUAUGUGUGUGUGAUGGGGGAGAGGGUUCUUCUGGUUGUCGUCUCUGUUCCGCUCACCAUGUGGUUGUGUUUGCCCCUCGUGCGCGGUGGUCAGACAAGAAACAGACAGACAGAACGAAUGGCGUUCGAGGACGAGACGAGGCGCUCAUGUUGGUAGCAGCUGCAGAAGCGAGAGAAAGAAAUGAUCACUGGAUUAGGGCAUGGCAGCAGACUUGUGAGGAAGCGGUAGUCGAAUUGUUAAAGAUGAGAGGGAGAAAGGAGCCAUGGACGCUGUGCAGCAAUGUGGUUGGGCUGGACUAUUUAGGUGUGCUCUUCGCCCCGGGUUGCACCUUCUCACACUCCUGCUCUCACGUGCAAGAGCACAAAGACGUAUGGAAAUGUGUGCUAUCGUGUCCAUCGACACGUACGUGCGUUACUGAGGACGGCUCCCGCCUUCGCAUUGCUAAUUCAAGUGCUCUCGUGCCUCUUCACUCCUCCACCCACUCAUCACCUCCUCCUCUUGCUGGUGUGGCCUCCGCCCUACGCAG